UACGUAGGGGGCAAGCGUUGUCCGGAUUUAUUGGGCGUAAAGAGCGUGUAGGCGGCCAGGUAGGUCGGUUGUGAAAACUGGAGGCUCAACCUUCAGAGGUCGACCGAAACCAUCUGGCUAGAGUCCGGGAGAGGAGAGUGGAAUUCCUGGUGUAGCGGUGAAAUGCGCAGAUAUCAGGAGGAACACCGAUUGCGAAGGCAGCUCGCUGGGACGUCACUGACGCUGAGACGCGAAAGCGUGGGGAGCAAACAGG
rnacentral:rRNA from 1 species